CAGCCGCCACGGGAAUACCGAGGUCCCGAGCGUUGUUCGGAUUCAUUGGGCGUAAAGGGUGUGUAGGAGGCCAGGUAAGUCAGGUGUGAAAUCUCAGAGCUUAACUCUGAAACUGCGCUUGAUACUGCUUGGCUAGAGGAUCGGAGGGGGUAACGGAAUUUAUGGUGUAGCAGUGAAAUGCGUAGAUAUCAUAAGGAACACCGGUGGCGAAGGCGGUUACCUGGAAGAUUCCUGACUCUGAAACACGAAAGCCAGGGGAGCAAACAGGAUUAGAUACCCCCGUAGUCCCUGUCUCUUAUAC
rnacentral:rRNA from 1 species